AUUGAACGCUGGCGGCAGGCCUAACACAUGCAAGUCGAGCGGAUGAAGGGAGCUUGCUCCUGGAUUCAGCGGCGGACGGGUGAGUAAUGCCUAGGAAUCUGCCUGGUAGUGGGGGAUAACGUCCGGAAACGGGCGCUAAUACCGCAUACGUCCUGAGGGAGAAAGUGGGGGAUCUUCGGACCUCACGCUAUCAGAUGAGCCUAGGUCGGAUUAGCUAGUUGGUGGGGUAAAGGCCUACCAAGGCGACGAUCCGUAACUGGCCUGAGAGGAUGAUCAGUCACACUGGAACUGAGACACGGCCCAGACUCCUACGGGAGGCAGCAGUGGGGAAUAUUGGACAAUGGGCGAAAGCCUGAUCCAGCCAUGCCGCGUGUGUGAAGAAGGUCUUCGGAUUGUAAAGCACUUUAAGUUGGGAGGAAGGGCAGUAAGUUAAUACCUUGCUGUUUUGACGUUACCAACAGAAUAAGCACCGGCUAACUUCGUG
rnacentral:rRNA from 1 species